GGAAGGAUCAUUACCGAGUACCGGGUCUUCUAGGCCCUUACUCCCACCCUUUGUGUACCAAACCUCUGUUCGUUGCCUCGGCGGGGUCGAUCCCAUCAGGGGGACUCGCCGGGGGGACACCACUAAACUCUUGUCAACGGUGAAGUCUGAGAAAACAUACAAACUAGUCAAAACUUUCAACAACGGAUCUCUUGGUUCUGGCAUCGAUGAAGAACGCAGCGAAAUGCGAUAAGUAAUGUGAAUUGCAGAAUUCAGUGAAUCAUCGAAUCUUUGAACGCACAUUGCGCCCUUUGGUAUUCCGAGGGGCAUGCCUGUUCGAGCGUCAUUUCAAACCUCAAGCUUCUGCUUGGUAUUGGGCGUCGUCCGCCUGAGGACGUGCCCGAAACUCGUGGGCGGUGGUGCCGAUCUCCCAGCGUAGUCAAGUCUACCCGCUUCGGAGCGUCAGGCGCCGCCCGCCGGAUAAGCUUAAAUCUAUCUAUGGUUUGACCUCGGAUCAGGUAGGGAUACCCGCUGAACUUAAGCAUAUCAAUAAGCGGAGGAAAAGAAACCAACAGGGAUUGCCUCAGUAACGGCGAGUGAAGCGGCAAUAGCUCAAAUUUGAAAUCUGGCUCUUUCAGAGUCCGAGUUGUAAUUUGUAGAGGAUGCUUCGGCUUACGUCUCGGUCUAAGUUCCUUGGAACAGGACGUCACAGAGGGUGAGAAUCCCGUUUGUGGCCGCGACUUCCGCCAUGUGAAGCUCCUUCGACGAGUCGAGUUGUUUGGGAAUGCAGCUCUAAAUGGGAGGUAAAUUUCUUCUAAAGCUAAAUACCGGCCAGAGACCGAUAGCGCACAAGUAGAGUGAUCGAAAGAUGAAAAGCACUUUGGAAAGAGAGUUAAAAAGUACGUGAAAUUGUUGAAAGGGAA
rnacentral:misc_RNA from 1 species